rnacentral:rRNA from 1 species
GACGAACGCUGGCGGCGUGCCUAACACAUGCAAGUGGAGCGACGAACCAGGCUUCGGCCUGGGGCAAAGCCGCGAACGGGUGAGUAACACGUGGGUAACCUGCCCCGAUGAUUGGGACAACCCGAGGAAACUCGGGCUAAUACCGAAUGUGCCCUCCGACCGCAAGGUCACUGGGGAAAGGAAGCUUCGGCCUCCGCAUCGGGAUGGGCCCGCGGCCCAUUAGCUUGUUGGUGAGGUAACGGCUCACCAAGGCGACGAUGGGUAGCUGGUCUGAGAGGACGAUCAGCCACACUGGGACUGAGAC